CUGACACACCGGUGACCGCCCGUCUCCUUCCCUGGGCGAGAAUGGAGUCUCCUCUGGUCGACAGGUCGGAGUCGGAGUCGGCGCCGCGGUCGCGCAGACCCAGCGCGGCGGAGAACAACCCUUCGCCCACCUCCUCCUCCGCUGCCUCUAGUGCCGGAGAUGCAGACGGCCGCGCCGCCGCCGACGACCACGAAGCGGUGGCUGACCGGCGUCUCGUCAGUAGCAGCAGGUUCGGCCACCUUGCCCUCCGCUGGUUCAGGGUCAUGAAGAGCCCGCGGCCAGCAACGAUUCCGCCGCCGGCAUUGACCGCGGCGCGCACACCGCGCGGACGCUGAACCCGCUCAACGCCGAUACCUUCGCCGCGGCCGCUGCCCAAUUCGCGGGCGAAGUGGCAGGCUCCCACUACGGUGCCGGUUCUCCCUCUGCAUCGACAUGAGGUUAAACGUCAGGUUAAGAUAGCUGAUCAGAGGACAUUUAUCUUUGGUUUAACGUUGAGCACCGCUAUUGCACUGUUCACCACCAUGAAGGUGGAGAGUGUCAUGUCCGCCGAAGUCGCAGCUUGGGUAGGUGGAGGCAGCGCAAUUGCUUGGUUGUGUGUUAAUGGGGGAUCAAUGUCAAUUUGUAUGGCCAAAGCAUCUUUGAGCAGCGAGCAGCUCAAAACUUGAGUCGUCUUGGAAUGAUGGGUUUAGCGCUCCUCUAUCCAUGUACGCAUGGUUCUUCCCUCACCUCCUGGGGCUAUUCUGGACACUUGUGGCACUGGCUGCUGCACUUCAUGGUGUUAUGUGGCUUCUGAGCUGCUUCCGGCAUGAUGAUGAUAGCACCGUCAGAUUGAGCGAGGAGGACCUGUGCAUGUGCCCGCGGUGCAAACCUUCAUGCACCUGCUGCAGCAACCGUGGAUCCGGGGCUCAUGCUGUUGAGUCCGUGUGAGUGCCAAGACAGUCUGACAAUAUAUAUAGCUACAGGUGCUCGUUCAAAAAUAUGGACCGACUCGAUUGCUUCUGUCCAUCCCAAUUACACUGACAUGAUUCCAAAUUCAACCGACAUGAUGGUUCUGCGGUGGUGUUCUGAACAUCAUGGGUGAGGAAUGACUUUCUGUUUCGUAAGAAUCGGCAAGAACCUAAGCAAGAAGUGUGCAAGGAC